GAUGAACGCUGGCGGCGUGCCUAAUACAUGCAAGUCGAGCGAACGGACGAGAAGCUUGCUUCUCUGAUGUUAGCGGCGGACGGGUGAGUAACACGUGGAUAACCUACCUAUAAGACUGGGAUAACUUCGGGAAACCGGAUCUAAUACCGGAUAAUAUUUUGAACCGCAUGGUUCAAUAGUGAAAGACGGUCUUGCUGUCACUUAUAGAUGGAUCCGCGCUGCAUUAGCUAGUUGGUAAGGUAACGGCUUACCAAGGCAACGAUGCAUAGCCGACCUGAGAGGGUGAUCGGCCACACUGGAACUGAGACACGGUCCAGACUCCUACGGGAGGCAGCAGUAGGGAAUCUUCCGCAAUGGGCGAAAGCCUGACGGAGCAACGCCGCGUGAGUGAUGAAGGUCUUCGGAUCGUAAAACUCUGUUAUUAGGGAAAAACAUAUGUGUAAGUAACUGUGCACAUCUUGACGGUACCUAAUCAGAAAGCCACGGCUAACUACGUG
rnacentral:rRNA from 1 species